rnacentral:rRNA from 1 species
GACGAAGGGGGCUAGCGUUGUUCGGAAUUACUGGGCGUAAAGGGCGCGUAGGUGGCCUUCUAAGUUGAACGUGAAAUCCCUGGGCUCAACCCAGGAACUGCGUCCAAGACUGGGAGGCUUGAAUCCGGGAGAGGGAUGCGGAAUUCCAGGUGUAGCGGUGAAAUGCGUAGAUAUCUGGAGGAACACCGGUGGCGAAGGCGGCAUCCUGGACCGGUAUUGACACUGAGGCGCGAAAGCCAGGGGAGCAAACGGG